rnacentral:rRNA from 1 species
AUUGAACGCUGGCGGCAGGCCUAACACAUGCAAGUCGAACGGUAGCACAGAGAGCUUGCUCUCGGGUGACGAGUGGCGGACGGGUGAGUAACGUCUGGGAAACUGCCCGAUGGAGGGGGAUAACUACUGGAAACGGUAGCUAAUACCGCAUAACGUCGUCAGACCAAGGUGGGGGACCUUCGGGCCUCAACCCAUCGGAUGUGCCCAGAUGGGAUUAGCUAGUAGGUGGGGUAAUGGCUCACCUAGGCGACGAUCCCUAGCUGGUCUGAGAGGAUGACCAGCCACACUGGAACUGAGACACGGUCCAGACUCCUACGGGAGGCAGCAGUGGGGAAUAUUGCACAAUGGGCGCAAGCCUGAUGCAGCCAUGCCGCGUGUAUGAAGAAGGCCUUCGGGUUGUAAAGUACUUUCAGCGGGGAGGAAGGCGGUGAAGUUAAUAGCUUCACCGAUUGACGUUACCCGCAGAAGAAGCACCGGCUAACUCCGUGCCAGCAGCCGCCGCCG